rnacentral:misc_RNA from 1 species
AUCGACACCCAUGACUAUGAGGUGAAGAUGCGGAACAUGAAGCGUUUCUUCGACGAAGGCGACAAGGUCAAGGUCACCCUGCGGUUCCGCGGACGCGAAAUGGCGCACCAGGACCUGGGCGUUGCGCUGCUCAACAAGGUGCGGGACGAGACGGCGGAGUUCGCCAAGGUCGAAUCCCACCCGCGGCUGGAAGGCCGUCAGAUGGUGAUGGUGCUGGCGCCGAUCGCGCGCUGAGGCCUGCCACCCUGCACGGCCGCGACACGCGGCGGUUUUCACGAAACCCGGCCUUAAAAAAGGGCCGG